UACGUAGGCAGCGAGCGUUGUUCGGAGUUACUGGGCGUAAAGAGUGUGUAGGCGGUGCUCCAAGUCUGGUGUGAAAUCUCCCGGCUCAACUGGGAGGGUGCGCUAGAAACUGGAAUGCUAGAGGAUGGGAGAGGUAAGCGGAAUUCCUGGUGUAGCGGUGAAAUGCGUAGAUAUCAGGAGGAACACCUGUGGUGUAGACAGCUUACUGGACCAUUUCUGACGCUGAGACACGAAAGCGUGGGUAGCAAACAGG
rnacentral:rRNA from 1 species